GUCGAUAUAGUUUAAUGAUUAAAACAAUACAUUCGUAAUGUACAGUUAUAGGUUUAAUUCCUAUUAUCGACU
rnacentral:tRNA from 1 species